rnacentral:rRNA from 1 species
UGGGGAAUAUUGCACAAUGGGCGCAAGCCUGAUGCAGCCAUGCCGCGUGUGUGAAGAAGGCCUUCGGGUUGUAAAGCACUUUCAGCGAGGAGGAAGGUGGUGAGCUUAAUACGCUCAUCAAUUGACGUUACUCGCAGAAGAAGCACCGGCUAACUCCGUGCCAGCAGCCGCGGUAAUACGGAGGGUGCAAGCGUUAAUCGGAAUUACUGGGCGUAAAGCGCACGCAGGCGGUUUGUUAAGUCAGAUGUGAAAUCCCCGGGCUCAACCUGGGAACUGCAUUUGAAACUGGCAAGCUAGAGUCUCGUAGAGGGGGGUAGAAUUCCAGGUGUAGCGGUGAAAUGCGUAGAGAUCUGGAGGAAUACCGGUGGCGAAGGCGGCCCCCUGGACGAAGACUGACGCUCAGGUGCGAAAAGCGUGGGGAGCAAACAGGGUUAGAUACCCUGGUAGUCCACGCUGUAAACGAUGUCGAUUUGGAGGUUGUGCCCUUGAGGCGUGGCUUCCGGAGCUAACGCGUUAAAUCGACCGCCUGGGGAGUACGGCCGCAAGGUUAAAACUCAAAUGAAUUGAC